GAUGAAGAACGUAGCGAAAUGCGAUACUUGGUGUGAAUUGCAGAAUCCCGUGAACCAUCGAGUCGUUGAACGCAAGUUGCGCCCGAAGCCAUUAGGCCGAGGGCACGCCUGCCUGGGCGUCACACGUCGUUGCCCCCCCAUCUACUCCUUCGGGAUUGCGGGGGGCGGAUGAUGGCCUCCCGUGCGCCUCGUCGCGCGGUUGGCAUAAAUGCCAAGUCCUCGGCGACGCACGCCACGACAAUCGGUGGUUGCGAAACCUCGGUUGCCCGUCGUGUGCGGUCGUCGCGCAUCGAGGGCUCGAAAAAAUUGCCGGGCUCCGGCUCGGCUUUCAACGCGACCCCAGGUCAGGCGGGGUUACCCGCUGAAUUUAAGCAUAUCAAUAAGCGGAGGA
rnacentral:misc_RNA from 1 species